GUUUCAGCAGCCGCGGUAAUACGGGGGGGGCAAGCGUUGUUCGGAAUUACUGGGCGUAAAGGGCUCGUAGGCGGCCAACUAAGUCGGAUGUGAAAUCCCCAGGCUCAACCUGGGAACUGCAUCCGAUACUGGAUGGCUUGAAUUCGGGAGAGGGAUGCAGAAUUCCAGGUGUAGCGGUGAAAUGCGUAGAUAUCUGGAGGAAUACCGGUGGCGAAGGCGGCAUCCUGGACCGAGAUUGACGCUGAUGAGCGAAAGCUAGGGGAGCAAACGGGAUUAGAAACCCUCGUAGUCC
rnacentral:rRNA from 1 species